rnacentral:lncRNA from 1 species
CCCUUCUCUUAGUUUAAAUGGUCCCUCUUCUGGGGACGUAUAUUAUCUACAGUAUUGAGGCCCCUCAUGGGGGGGGUCCUAGUAAUCACAUAAUCACCAUUUUUUUGCCAAUAUAAUCACAUAAUCAUUAAAUAUUUGCUUAUCUUUAGUAAUCAAAUAAUCAUAAACUAAAAAUACAGUCCUUAAGGUAAUCAAAUAAUCAUGAAAUAUUUGGCUUAAUAAUCAAAUAAUCAUUAAAAAAACGGCCAAGUAAUCACAUAAUCAAAAACCCCAUGAGGGCCCUCUACAGUAUAAUAAAGUAACUGUGAAGACUGAAAGAACAAAAUGUUUUAAGGUGGUACCUAACACUACAGGGAGAUAACUCUGUAAUAUCAGCUAAACGUUUAAAUUACGUUGCGUUGUGAAGGCAAUAUAAAGCUUCUCAAUGAUCAAAAUUAGUGUUUGUCAAACUGCUAUAUAACCAGUGUAAUUUUUCUGAUAAAACGCUUGGUUCAAAUUUUUUGAAUUUUUUAUAUUUUUGUUAAAGGGUCAAAGUAAAU